GGGCUUGAUAAUUAAAACUUCGGUGGUGUAAGAUGAGUAUGCGUCCCAUUAGAUAGUUGGAGAGGUAACGGCUCACCAAGUCAACGAUGGGUAGGGGGCCUGAGAGGGUUGUCCCCCACACUGGUACUGAGACACGGACCAGACUCCUACGGGAGGCAGCAGUGAGGAAUAUUGGUCAAUGGAGGGAACUCUGAACCAGCCAUACCGCGUGCAGGAAGACUGCCCUAUGGGUUGUAAACUGCUUUUAUACAGGAAGAAACACACCUACGUGUAGGUGCUUGACGGUACUAUAAGAAUAAGGAUCGGCUAACUCCGUGCCAGCAGCCGCGGUAAUACGGAGGAUCCAAGCGUUAUCCGGAAUCAUUGGGUUUAAAGGGUCCGUAGGUGGAUAAUUAAGUCAGAGGUGAAAUCUUGCAGCUCAACUGUAAAAUUGCCUUUGAUACUGGUUAUCUUGAGUUAUUAUGAAGUAGUUAGAAUAUGUAGUGUAGCGGUGAAAUGCAUAGAUAUUACAUAGAAUACCAAUUGCGAAGGCAGAUUACUAAUAAUCAACUGACACUGAUGGACGAAAGCGUGGGUAGCGAACAGGAUUAGAUACCCUGGUAGUCCACGCCGUAAACGAUGGUUACUAGCUGUUUGGACCUUGUGUCUGAGUGGCUAAGCGAAAGUGAUAAGUAACCCACCUGGGGAGUACGUUCGCAAGAAUGAAACUCAAAGGAAUUGACGGGGGCCCGCACAAGCGGUGGAGCAUGUGGUUUAAUUCGAUGAUACGCGAGGAACCUUACCAGGGCUUAAAUGUAA
rnacentral:rRNA from 1 species